rnacentral:rRNA from 1 species
GACGAACGCUGGCGGCGUGCUUAACACAUGCAAGUCGAACGGAAAGGCCCUGCUUUUGUGGGGUGCUCGAGUGGCGAACGGGUGAGUAACAAGUGAGUAACCUGCUCUCGACUUUGGGAUAACUUCAGGAAACUGGGGCUAAUACCGGAUAGGAGCUCCUGCUGCAUGGUGGGGGUUGGAAAGUUUCGGCGGUUGGGGAUGGACUCGCGGCUUAUCAGCUUGUUGGUGGGGUAGUGGCUUACCAAGGCUUUGACGGGUAGCCGGCCUGGGAGGGUGACCGGCCACAUUGGUACUGAGAUACGGCCCAGACUCCUACGGGAGGCAGCAGUGGGGAAUAUUGCACAAUGGGCGGAAGCCUGAUGCAGCAACGCCGCGUGCGGAAUGAAGGCCUUCGGGUUGUAAACCGCUUUCGCCUGUGACGAAGCGUGAGUGACGGUAAUGGGUGAAGAAGCACCGGCUAACUACGUG